AGAGUUUGAUCCUGGCUCAGGACGAACGCUGGCGGCGUGCCUAAUACAUGCAAGUAGAACGCUGACUACUUUAGCUUGCUAGAGUAGAAGGAGUUGCGAACGGGUGAGUAACGCGUAGGUAACCUGCCUACUAGCGGGGGAUAACUAUUGGAAACGAUAGCUAAUACCGCAUAACAGUGUUUAACACAUGUUAGAUGCUUGAAAGAUGCAAAUGCAUCACUAGUAGAUGGACCUGCGUUGUAUUAGCUAGUUGGUGGGGUAACGGCCUACCAAGGCGACGAUACAUAGCCGACCUGAGAGGGUGAUCGGCCACACUGGGACUGAGACACGGCCCAGACUCCUACGGGAGGCAGCAGUAGGGAAUCUUCGGCAAUGGGGGCAACCCUGACCGAGCAACGCCGCGUGAGUGAAGAAGGUUUUCGGAUCGUAAAGCUCUGUUGUAAGAGAAGAACGUGUGUGAGAGUGGAAAGUUCACACAGUGACGGUAACUUACCAGAAAGGGACGGCUAACUACGUGCCAGCAGCCGCGGUAAUACGUAGGUCCCGAGCGUUGUCCGGAUUUAUUGGGCGUAAAGCGAGCGCAGGCGGUUUAAUAAGUCUGAAGUUAAAGGCAGUGGCUUAACCAUUGUUCGCUUUGGAAACUGUUAAACUUGAGUGCAGAAGGGGAGAGUGGAAUUCCAUGUGUAGCGGUGAAAUGCGUAGAUAUAUGGAGGAACACCGGUGGCGAAAGCGGCUCUCUGGUCUGUAACUGACGCUGAGGCUCGAAAGCGUGGGGAGCAAACAGGAUUAGAUACUCCUGG
rnacentral:rRNA from 1 species